GUAGAAUUCAUAAUGACUGGAUAUAAAAUGGUUUCAGAAAGCGCAGGCUGGCCAGAGUGAACCUGAGAUCAUUGAACCUGAUGUUGCAUGCUGCCAUAUGAUCUGUUUCGGAGGGUUUUGCAUGUAGAACUGAAUGCUACAUUAGGUGAAUUGUCUGUCUGUCUGAACUUUAUCUUUCUGUCCUUCGUCCACGUGUAUCGAAUCUUGCCUGGAUCUCAAGAUAGCGCCAGAGGAAACUCUAUGAUGCAUGCUGCAGGGUGAGCUUUUUGGAACAAAAUGACUGUAAGCUUAAUGAUGGAACGUAAACUGAAUGGUUACCUUGUUGUAAGUUGGCCAUCAUCUGUGAAACAUUUCAUCUUUGAGAAAUUUGGAUAACUAUAGCCCACAUGUUGCAUCAGCUUCUAUGAAACAAUUGGCGGUUGCUCGUUUAUUCUACUCUUGCUGUUUGAAAGUAAAUCAUUUUGUUGUAACUAGAUAGCAUAUGCAUUACAGUUAAUUCGGAGAUAUUUUGUCUUGUGGAAAGUAAACCAUACCGGCUUGUUCGGCUCACCACCGAGUUUCGCCGCAUUGAGCAGGGGUCGUCCUCCAUCCUCUCCUAGUUGGCCCGGCUCAAGGACUGCGCCAACGACCGCCUGGCGGACCUUGGCGAACAUGUCCGCGGUCGCGACGAGGUCCUCAAAAUGAUUCACGGUCUCAAUCCCUGUUUUCGCUAUGCUGUUCCCAUACUCACCAUGCAGUCGUCCUUCCCCACCUUCCUGUGCUGUCGUGCAUUCCUCCUCCUCGAGGAGAGCCGCCAAGCCGAGGAAACUCCCCAUGACAUCGCCCUGCACACUGCGCGCGCACCAGCGAACCCGGACUCCAGCGGGGCUGGCGACAACAACAACCGCCCUGGUGGGGGCGGCCGUGGUGGCAGCCGCGGCAAAGGGAAUUGCAAGGCCUCCGGCAGGGGUGGGCCAUCUCACUACGGCGGAGCUGCUCCUCCACCACGCCCAUCUGCUCCUGCUCCGACGCCAUGGACGAGCAUGGUCCACGCCUGGUCCAUGCCUUGGCGCCCCCAUGCUCCCGGCGCAGGCAUCCUUGGGCCACAACCUUGUGGCCCGACCCCCUUCACCAGCGUAGCAGCUCAGUACGGCGUGCCCCCACCGCCUGCCUCGGCUCCUCCAGCACACUAGCAGCACGGGGACGUCCCUCCACACCCCGUCUACGGCCGGCGCACCUCCCGCGGCGCCGUGGCAGGCUUGGGAUCAGGAUACUCUGGCCAGGCGCUCAACCCCAUGAGCGUGUAGCAAGGGCAGACGUCGUCGAGCUCCCGUGGUGAAUGGUACCUCGACUCUAGUGCGACGUGUCACAUGGCCUCAUCUUUGGUAUUCUCACUUCAUCCUACCCCAGUUUUUCUCCUGAUAUCAUAGUUGCCAAUGGAUCCACGCUUGCAGGCACGGACGUAGGUCAACACACCAUCCCCACUUCCUCCCAAAACCUAUCUCUUCGUAACAUCCUAGUCUCUCCACACUUAAUCAAAAACAUCAUUUCCGUUAAAACUCUUAUGCGUGACAACCCAGUUAACGUGGAAUUUGAUGACUUUAGUUUUUCUUUCAAGGAUUGAAGAAGAAGGCGAAGAUCCUCCGCUGUGAUUCACCGGACGAGCUCUACCCUCUCCAUCCAUCACACCUGUCCCAAGCACCCCACGCCUUCAUUGCCGUUACGCGCGAUACCUGACACCGGCGCCUUGUUUACCUUGGUGAUGAUGCGCUGGACUCCACCCUCUGCCACACCUCCAUACACGCCCCUGGCUCCGACGGAGACAUCUGCACCGCCUGUCAGUUAGGAAAAAAGUCAUCUUUUACCUUUCAGUUCUUCAGAUCAUGUCUCAUAUUUCCCUUUCCAGCUUGUACAUUGUGAUGUAUGGAACUCACCCAUGCUUAGUUUUUCUAGUUUUGAGUGUUACUUAGUCGUGGUUGAUGACUAUAGUCAUUUCAUGUGGACGUUUCCUCUCAAACAGAAAUCAGAUGUUCUACCGACACUCCGUGCAUUUGUACGCCUCGCCUGCACUCACUUCAACCUGAUGGUCCAAACAGACAACGGGCAGGAGUUUGAAAGCUUUGCUGCCUGUCAAUUCUUCUCCUCCCUCGGCAUCAUUAUGCGUAUGUCAUGCCCUUACACAUCUCCACAGAAUAGGCGCGCUGAGCACGCUCUCCGCACACUAAAUGACAUCACAUGCGCUCUACUCGUUCAUGCCUCCAUGCCUUACUCAUACUGGGCAGAAGCACUCCAGACCGCCACGUUCCUUCUGAACCGAAGGCGGUGCCGCCCCCGUCACCAACACACACUGUUUUACCUCCUCUACGGUGCACACCCCAACUACUCUGCCAUGUAAGUCUUCGGGUGUCAGUGCUUCCCCAACAUCACCGCCAUUACACCUCAUAACCUGGCGCCUCGCUCGGUCCCUUGUGUCUUCCUCGGAUAUUCACAAGAUCACAAAGGCUACUGUUGCUUAAACCUACGACCGGCCAUGUCAUCAUCUCACAACACGUCGUGUUUGACGGAAACUCCUUCCCCUUUCAGCAACACACAGCAGAGCGCGCCUCCGCCUCUGUGGUCGACCUCACCGACCACGUCGUCGCUCCACUCAUUCCCCACGUUGUCACCAGCCAACAACACACUCCCUACCAUGAGCGCCCCCAUAGUCCAGACGGCUUCCCCAAACUCUACCAUGGCUACCAACUCGCCCACCCACACGCACACCGGUGCUCCUGCCUCCCCGCCACCUGAUCCCGACCCCCCGAGUCCACCCUCUCCGGAUCACCAAAACGACCCACCCCGGCUCCCCUCGCUCCAUCACACAAGAUGGUCACGCGAGCUCGAGCAGGUAAAUUCUUCCCCAACCCUAAGUACCACUGAAAUCUCCAUGCCAAUGUUGCCACUUCCAUCUCUCCUGUACCCAAGUCCGUGUGGGCUGCUCUACAUGAUCCAAAUUGGCUAACUGCGAUGCAGGAUGAAUUCUCGGCAUUGAUGCAGAACCGAACAUGGAGCCUCGUUCCUCACCCCCCUGGAGCUAACAUUGUGACCAGCAAGUGGCUGUUUUGGCACAAGUUCAAAGCCGACGGCGGGCUCGAGCGUUACAAGGCGAGAUGGGUGGUGCGAGGUUUCUCUCAGCGACAAGGCGUGCACUUCGACAAGACCUUCUCAUCGGUCGUCAAGGCGGCCACAAUCCGCGCUGUGCUCACCGUGGCAGCCUCCCGCGUGUGGCCAAUUCACCAGAUGGACAUGAACAAUGCGUUCCUCCACGGCCACCUCAUCGAGCGUGUGUACUGCCAGCAGCCGGCUGGCUUCGUUGACGCGGCCCGCCCCGACCACGUCUUCCUCCUCAAUAGAUUGCUCUACAGCCUCAAGUAGGCGCCACGCGCCUGGUUUGCCAGGUUCGUCGUGUUCGCCCGCACGCUCGGCUUCCAUGACUCCCGCACGGAUCCAUCCCUGUUCGUGCUACACAACAAUGGCGGGAUGGAUUACCUGCUGCUCUACGUCGACUAUAUUAUUCUGGUCGCAUCGUCCACAUCUCUCCUUCGCUGUCUCCAACAGCAACUCUCAACGGAAUUCUCUAUGAAGGACAUGGGUGCCCUUCACUACUUCUUGGGCACCACUAUCACCAGGAAUGUCGAUGGCUUCUUCCUGUCGCAGCGUGGCUACAUGGUCGACUGCAAGGCUGUGUCCACCCCUGUCGUCACGCACUCAAAGCUGUCCGCCACGGACGGGGCGCCAGUCUCGGAUGCCUCGGAGUACCGCAGCAUGGUUGGCGCGCUCCAGUACCUGGCCAUGACGUGCCCCGACAUCGCCUACGCCAUGCACCAAUGCUGCCUCGUCAUGCACGAUCUGCAUGCCGCCCACCUUGCCCUGGUCAAGCACAUCCUGUGCUAUCUCCGCGGCAUGACAGAUAUUGGAUUGCAUCUCCAUCGCUCCUCCAACCUCGACCUCGUGGCGUACUCCGACGCCGACUGGGUCGGCUGCCCGGACACCCUUCGCUCGACCUCCGGCUAUGUGGUGUUCCUCGGCGACGCCCUCGUGUCCUAGUCUAGCAAGCGCCAGGCCACAGUUUCACGAUCAAGCGCGAAGGCUGAAUACCGCGCCGUCGCCAAUGCAGGCGCUGAGUGCUGCUGGCUCCGGCAACUCCUCGGCGAGCUACGAGCCCUAGUGCCCAAAGCCACGGUGGUGUUCUAUGACAACAUCUCAUUGGUGUACAUGGCAGGCAAUCCAGUCCACCACCGACGCAUGAAGCACAUCGAGCUAGACAUCCAUGUCGUGCGUGAGAAGCCCUAGGCGAGUUCCGCAUCCUCCACGUCCCGACCAAGCAGCAGUUCACCGACGUCUUGACCAAGGGGCUCCCCUCGCCGACAUUCCAUGAUUUUCGGUCCAGCUUAUGCUGUUGGGAAACGCAGUUAUUUCAAAAAUUUCCUACGCACACGCAAGAUCAUGGAGAUGCAUAGCAACGAGUGGGGAGAGUAUUGUCUACAUACCCUCGUAGACCGUAAGCGGAAGCGUUAUGACAACGCGGUUGAUGUAGUAACACGUCUUCACGAUCGGCCGAUCCUAGUACCGAAAAGUACGGCACCUUUGUGAUCUGCACACGUUCAGCUCAGUGACUGAUAAUCCCCAAGUGCAGGGAAUCAUCGUAGCAAUUUCCAAAGGUGGAAGUGACAAGUAUGGAGUGUCAAACCCACAAGGAGCUAAAGGUAAGAUCAAUAUUCUCUCAAUCCCUAUCUGCCACUGAUACGACUCUAUGUACAUCGAACGUUUGCUUCCGACUAGAAUCGAGAAAUAAAACUACGUUGUGGGUAUGAAGAGGAUAACUUUGUAUGAUAUUGGAGAACUAAAAUAUAAAAGUAGGUGCUGUUAUCAUAAAGUUAGAAUAUAUUACUAAAUAUUAUAAAUAGCGAGUGUGGAAUAAUGGUGGACCGGUGUGCAGAAUUAUCCUAGGCAAUUGUUAACAAGACUGGUAAUCACUAUUGCAGUUUCAUAUGAGGGAGAGGCAUAAGCUAACAUACUUUCUCUUCUUGGAUCAUAUGCACUUAUGAUUGGAACUCUAGCAAGCAUCCGCAACUACUAAAGAUCAUUAAGGUAAAACCCAACCAUACAAUUAAAGUAUCAAGUCCUCUUUAUUCCCAUAUGCCAUGUCCCGCUUAUCUGUGUUUGUGUUUCAGUCACUCACGCAACGCAGACAAUAAGAAAACCAUGGACAUAUUGCAACACCCUACAGCGGGAAUCUCUCAUGCUUGCGCGACACGGAGGGCAUCAUAAGACAACACCAAAGUAAAACAUACAACUCAUACCAAUCUAGAUCAUCAAUCAACCCAAAGACAAAGGAUAUCUACUCAAAACAUCAUAGGAUGGCAGUACAUCAUUGGAUCAUAAUAUGUGGCAUAAAGCACCAUGUUCAAGUAGGUAUUACAGCGGGGUGCGGGAGAGUGGACCGCGUAAAAGAGAUGAGGAUGGUGAUGAUGAUGGUGAUGAAGACGAUCAUCGCAGCGAUGAUUCCCCUCCCGAUGGCACUCCGGUGCCACCGAGAGAGAGAGGAGGAGAGGUUAUCCCCCUUGUGCUUCCUCCUCCAUGGCCUCCCCGUGGAUGGGGAGAGGUUCUUCCUCUGGUCCUUGGCCUUCAUGGUGGUGAUGGUCCCUCCCGGAUCCUCCUCCAUAGCCUCCGGUGAUGAUGGCCCCCUCUGGCAGGGUGCCAGAGAGGGCCUAGAUUGAUUUCUCGUGGCUACAGAUACUUGCGGCGGCAGAACUUCUGAUCUAGGUUAAUUUCUGGAGGUUUCUGUAUAUAUAAGAAGUUUUGGCGUCCAGAACAAGUCAGGGGGUCUCCAGGCUGUCCACGAGGUAGGGGGGCAUGCCCGGGGGGGUCGCGCCUCCCACCCUCGUGGGCAGCCCGGGACUCUUCUGGCCCAACUCUUUUACUCCAUGGUCUUCUUCUGGUCAAAAAUAAGCUCCAUCGAGUUUCAGGUCAAUUGGACUUCGUUUGGUUUUCCUUUUCUGCGAUACUCUAAAACAAGGAAAAAAAAGAAACUGGCACUGGACUCUAGGUUAAUAGGUUAUUCCCAAAAAUCAUAUAAAAUAGCAUAUAAAACAUCCAAGGUUGAUAAUAUAAUAGCAUGAAUACUUCAUAAAUUAUAGAUACGUUGGAGACGUAUCAGCAUCCCCAAGCUUAAUUCCUGCUCGUCCUCGAGUAGGUAAAUGAUAAAAGAAAUAAUUUAUGAAGUGUGAAUGCUAGCACGUGCAUAAGUUUCAUCAAUGAUAGUUCCAAUCACUUUUUCUAGCAUCAUUAUAUAUCAUAACAGUGGCUCAUUUUCAUAAAGCUUUUCAUGAUCAAGUAACAAGCUAUUCACAUGUUAAAGUAUAGAUCAUAAACUUUCUUUAAACUAACAAACUAUAUUCUCAGUCAUCAAACAAUUGCAAUUCAUCUUAUUUUCAGGAAGGGUCUAUGUUAGAGCUUUGAUUUAGCAAACUCCCAAUACUCAACUAUCAUAUAAUCUUUCACAAUUGCUAACAAUCACAUGAUAUUUAUGGGUUCAAAGUCUUAAUCAGACACAGAAAAAGAUAGGGGCUUAUAGAUUCGCCUCCCAACCUUUUACCUCAAGGGUAAUGUCAACAAUAAUAGUUCAUGGUAACUUACAUCCAAUUGGAUAUAUAUAUAUAUCAGGAUCUUUCCAACACAAUGUGCUUUCCAAAGGAUAAAAUGUAAAAAGGAAAGGUGAAGAUCACCAUGACUCUUGCAUAAGGGUAGAAGAUAAAAGUAAAAGAUAGGCCCUUCGCAGAGGGAAGCAGAGGUUGACAUGCACUUUUAUGGUUGGAUGCACAAAAUCUUAAUGCAAAAGAACAUCACUUUAUAUUGCCACUUGUGAUAUGGACAUUUAUUAUGCAGCCCGUCUCUUUUAUUUCCUCCACAUCACAAGAUCGUAUAAAGCUUAUUUUCUCCAUAUUAAUAAAUCAUUAUUUUCUCACCGUCACAGAUGAUUUGAGUAGAUAUGGGUAUAUCUACUUAAUGAAACAUAAGUCUGAAAUAUUUGAAAAGUUCAAAGAAUUUCAGAGUGAAGUCAAAAAUCAUCGUAACAAUAAAAUAAAGUUUCUACGAUCUAAUCCUGGAGGAGAAUAUUUGAGUUACGAGUUUGGUCUACAUUUGAAACAAUGCAGAAUAGUUUCGCAACUCACGCCACCCGGAACACCACAUCGUAAUGGUGUGUCCGAACGUCGUAAUUGUACUUUACUAGAUAUGGUGCGAUCUAUGAUGUCUCUUACUGAUUUACCGCUACCAUUUUUGGGGUUAUGCUUUAGAGACGACUGCAUUCAUGUUAAAUAGGGCACCAUCAAAAUCCGUUGAGACGACGCCUUAUGAACUGUGGUUUGGCAAGAAACCAAAGUUGUCGUUUCUUAAUGUUUGGGGUUGUGAUGCUUAUGUGAAAAAGCUUCAACCUGAUAAGCUCGAACCCAAAUUGGAGAAAUGUGUCUUCAUAGGAUACCCAAAGGAGACUGUUGGGUACACCUUCUAUCAAAGAUCCGAAGGCAACACAUUCGUUGCUAAGAAUGGAUCCUUUCUAGAGAAGGAGUUUCUCUCGAAAGAAGUGAGUGUGAGGAAAGUAGAACUUGAUGAGGUAACUGUACCUGCUCCCUUAUUGGAAAGUAGUUCAUCACAGAAACAAGAGGAGGAGAGGAAGGGUCUACACAAAGAAAAUAAGUGAAGAAGGUAAUGCAACAAUUUGUGUAUAUUACUGCCUGCGCUUACUAUCAGUUUUCGUUCCACAUGAGACUUGUUGUCAACUGUACAAUGUGCUGUGAAAAUCAGUAGAUUCAUAAUGACUGGAUAUAAAAUGGUUUCAGAAAGCGCAGGCUGGCCGGAGUGAACCUGAGAACAUUGACCCUGAUGUUGCAUGCUGCCAUAUGAUCGGUUUCGGAGGGUUUUGCACGUAGAACUGAAUGCUACAUUAGGUGAAUUGUCUGUCUGUCUGAACUUUAUCUUUCUGUCCUUCAUCCGUGUGUAUCGGAUCUUGCCUGGAUCUCAAGAUAGCGCCAGAGGAAACUCUAUGAUGCAUGCUGCAGGGUGAGCUUUUUGGAACAAAAUGACUGUAAGCUUAAUGAUGGAACGUAAGUUGAAUGGUUACCUUGUUGUAAGUUGGCGAUCAUCUGUGAAACAUUUCAUCUUUGAGAAAUUUGGAUAACUAUCGCCCACAUGUUGCAUCAGCUUCUAUGAAACAAUUGGCGGUUGCUCGUUUAUUCUACUCUUGCUGUUUGAAAGUAAAUAAUUUUGUAGUAACUAAAUAGCAUAUGCAUUACAGUUAAU
rnacentral:lncRNA from 1 species